GGAAAGACGCCAAUGAAGUGGCCGACUCGUUCACUAGAAAUGAUGAUUACAUGGACGAGCUUGAUGGAGAGGCCAGGACCACAGAGACCCUCAGAAGAAUGGUCCUACCCAUGCAUGAUAAACUCUCUAUCAAAAGAACCACGUCAGAAACCAGGAAACAAAUGACCUUGAAGAGAGGUCAAACACACAAGAAAAUUGGAUGGUGGAAGAGGACAAAAUACAGCAUUGGAAUAUCUUGGAUGCAUUUCAAGCAUCGAAUGGCAGAGUUUGCCUACUCUCUGGAACUAUGGAGAAGUCACAUGAAAAAAAUUGAGGGGCAUUUUGGGACUGGGGUGACCUCUUACUUCCUCUUCUUGAAGUGGCUUUUCCUUCUGAACAUUCCUGUGUUUACUCUGACCCUCGGCUUUGUUGUGGUGCCCCAGAUUCUGUACAGAUACAACAUCAAGGUCCCCAGUGGAUAUGGAUUCUCGGUCAAUGAAACCUCUGUAUCCUUUACUGGAGAGGAACUGCUUACAGGGGGAAACUGGUUCAACAACACAGAGUUGUACUACGGAUUUUACACGGACCAGGUUAUUGAGAUUCCAGUGAAUUCUACAACGAGCUACAACAUGAAGUAUGCUUACCUGUUCACCUGUGGUGGUUACUACAUCCUCUGCCUCAUUACACUGGCCAUCAGUAUUUCACAAUCCUACAAAAUGAACUACAUUGAGGGUAGUGGGACCCACACAUUUUAUAAUGUCAGCAGAGUUUUCUGUGGAUGGGAUUACAACAUCACAGACAAAGCAGCAGCACGACUGAAGCACAAGAGCUUCUACAAUGAGAUGAAGGAGUACUUGUCUGGGAGCAAGAAGAAGAGUCAUAAAAAGAACAUGGAGGAGCGGUGUAAGCUGUUAUUCCUGCGAGUGUUAACCAACCUGCUGAUCCUCGGCUCCAUAGCCGGACUCUCCUAUCUGGUAUUCUGGAUAUCGGGCAGUGGCACCCUCAAGGGCUCGGUGUACAUUCUCAGUGAUCUGGCUCUCUCUCUAUGUGUGUCUGCAAUCUUCCUGGUCUUCCCACCCAUCUUCUCAAAGAUUGCACAGUUUGAAAAAUACGAGGAACCAAAGAAUGAACUGUACAUCAACAUGAUCAGAACCAUGUUGUUGAAGACGUGUGUGCUGGGGAUCCUGGUUUACUUCUGGUUCACAGACACAGCCAAAGAUAAGUACUCUUGCUGGGAGACCGCAGUCGGUAGCGAGAUUUAUCGCCUUGUAUUGGUGGAUUUCUUUUUCAUCCUUGGAGCUACAUUUUUCCUUGAAUUUCUACGCAGAAUAUGUGGUCAGUAUUGCUGCAAUAAAGGCAAUGAGGAGCAGGAGGGACAGGCCAUGGGGCCAGAGUUUGACAUUGGCAGGAACACCCUGGAUCUGAUCUACUCCCAGGCCCUGUGCUGGCUUGGCACCUUUUAUUCUCCACUUUUAUCUCUGGUCAUGAUGGUCAAGUUAUUCAUUAUCUUCUAUGUCAAAAUGGUCAGUGUUCUACAAAAUUGCCAGCCCUCACUGCGGCCUUGGAGAGCUGCCAAGUCCCACACCAUAUUCAUGGGCUUCCUCUUCUUCUUCUUCCUAAUGGCGAUGGUAGCUGUGGCUGUAGGGGUCAUCAUAAUUGAGCCAAGUAAAGUAUGUGGUCCAUUCCGAGGGGAAGAGAAGGCCUACUCUAUAGUAACAAACCUGAUUGACAGCUGGAAGGGAGACCUGAAAGUUCUUCAUGACAUCAUCAACUUUAUCUCCAGUCCAGGAAGUAUUGCCAGUAUCCUGGUUGCCCUAUGUGUUGGGACAUACUACAUGAGGAUUGUGAUGAUUGGCCAUAAAGAGAUGGUGACUCUACUGAGACAGCAGUUACAUAUGGAAGGGCGGGAUAAAGCCUACCUACUCCGAAUGUUACAAGAUGUCAGUCAGAAGAAGAAGGAGAAGCUGGGACCUUCCAAUGUCAACAGGCUGCUAUCUCCGACCUCUAACUCCACCCUAGAGGCUGGCCAGAGGACAGCUGCUGGAUUUGCCCUGAAUUUUCCUGGAACUGUCCCAGACAUCAAUAUUUCAGACUUCUCUACCUAAGUUAUACCCCUCUCAGUCGCCGCGUGUUUGCAAGGACUGCCGCAGACACAGUGGCCACUAUGGCGCCCGGCAACACCAGAAUGAGGAAUCUGAAUGGUGUGUUACGCUGAGCACGAGUUCAACUGGCACAGACACAAAGGUUUCAGAAAUCCAACGAUCGGCAUUCUCAUAUGAACCAUUGGUUGAUUGUUUUAGUUUUGUUAUUCUUUGAUUACAAUUUUGUAUGGGUAAAUCAUUGGGUCCAAGUUUUACAGAUUUACAUGUGUAUACAUGUACCUAGGUAGUCAAUUUUGAUUUAUACUCUGAAUAUAUUCUGUGAUAAUAUUCUAAAUUUAGUCUUACCAAGGCAAAACUACAUGUCUUAGGGCAUUGCUUUCCUGUCCUAAUUAAAGUGUUUUACCUGUACCAAACCUAUCUUUACUUAAGACAAAUAAUAAAGGAAUAAGAACAAUACCGGUAUCAUAUGUAUAUUGAGAGAUGAUACAGUGACUUGUAUUAUUCCUUGUUUUCUGUACAAGAGCCAACAUGUUACAUGAUGCAUAAUAAACUUAAUGUUUACCGGUAUUCUGGUAUGCUUUCAGUGUUGUAUCAUACAAUUAAAUCUCAUUUUUCUUGUGAUUGUUAUACCCACUUCAUAUGAAAGACUUUGACCAAAUCUACAAACCUCAGAAGGAUUUUGUGGUGCAUUAUUUAUUGCUAUUCAGAUUAAAUUGUGUUCUUUAACACAGUGCAAUGGUUUACAUUACAUAGGAUUGCUGGUAUAUGUUUUUCAUUGAAACAUAAUGCAUUUAAAUUCGUCUUGCUUGUUUGAUUAUAAAUAUAUAGCUUUCACUGAGCAGUGGGAGUUUCAUAAGAAAUGCAUUUGUACUAAUAAUUAAUUCUAUAAAUUACCAGUAAUUCAUGUUAGGUUAUGUAAUACAUGAUAGGUAUUUAUAUCAACUCUAUUGCCAUUCAUGUUUUGUUAACACGCUUGUUAGAGUCAAAUAUUUGUUUAUGAUCAGAGAAAAGUAUUGUCAUUAAAUUCUAUCUCAAUGCAGAACAAUCCCCACAAAACAAAACAUUUUCUGCAUUCAAAAGCAUUAACCAAUUCUACUUUAAAUGAAUUCUGUUGUAACAAAAAUUAUUAUUAUUUGAAAGUUGUAAACAAUUCUUAUACAUGCAUGUAUUGUUUUCAGAUAUACAAAUAUAUAACUUUAUGUAUUGUUUUAAAUAAACAGAGAAACAUU
rnacentral:misc_RNA from 1 species